rnacentral:misc_RNA from 1 species
GAAAUGCGAUAAGUAGUGUGAAUUGCAGAAUUCCGUGAAUCAUCGAAUCUUUGAACGCACAUUGCGCCCUCUGGCAUUCCUUAGGGCAUGCCUGUUCGAGCGUCAUCUCAAACCUCAAGCACCGCUUGGUCUUGGGCGACCGUCCCGCCGCGGCGCGCGGACCCGCCUCGAAUGCAUUGGCAGCCGGCAUCCCGGGCCUCGAGCGCAGCAGAUCGCGCCUCGAGCCGGGCGGCCGGCGCUCCAGCAAGCGCCACCCCACGUUUUGACCUCGGAUCAGGCAGGGUUACCCGCUGAACUUAA